rnacentral:rRNA from 1 species
GACGAACGCUGGCGGCAUGCCUAACACGAUAUGCAGUUCUCAGCAGGCAUCUAACGAGAACGAAAAUGUGAAGGAGAAGGAUGGGGGAUGCGUCUGAUUAGCUUGUUGGCGGGGUAACGGCCCACCAAGGCGACGAUCAGUAGGGGUUCUGAGAGGAAGGUCCCCCACAUUGGAACUGAGACACGGUCCAAACUCCUACGGGAGGCAGCAGUGAGGAAUAUUGGUCAAUGGGCGAGAGCCUGAACCAGCCAAGUAGCGUGCAGGAAGACGGCCCUAUGGGUUGUAAACUGCUUUAUAAGGGAAUAAAGUGGGUCACGUGUGACUUUUGCAUGUACCUUAUGAAUAAGGACCGGCUAAUUCCGUG